UUGCAGGUUUCUAUUCUUGUUUUGUUUGUUUGUUUAUUUAUUUAUGUGUAUAUAUAUUUAUUUAUUUAGAAAGUAAUGCCGCUUACAUGCAUUACGUUCCUAAAUAUGUGCAUUGUACUUUUUUGCUUCUCUGCGAGAGGGGCAAAUAAAGAAUAUAUGCAAAUAGCUAGUAAAAUAUUAUCACAUUUGAACCUUUUUUAUGUGGACAGAAUUAUUAAACAUGGACUAAUAUUCGACAUAGGUAUAUAAUGUCAUUUCUGAUUAUUACAGAAUCCUUUCGUAAAGUCACCAUAAUGAAAUAAUGUCAUGCACUGUGCAAUAUUUACCUGCCUAUAGGCAUCAUGUCAGAGUUUAAGCUCAGUAAUUGAAAUCAAUGCUAAUGUGUAAAAAUGCUUUGAGUAGCUAAUGUGAUUUUAAUAUGGCAACAUGCGUAGGAAAAACUUACUGUUUAAAUCACUGUUUUUCUCUAGAGUUUUUUUUGUUUGUUUUUUAAUUCAAAGUCUUGCGAAACCAUAUUUAUUCACAAUUUUGUAAAAUGCCCAAACUGUGAAAGUCUGUAGUAAUUAAGCAUGGAGGACUACAUGGAGUUGUUUUCAUUUUGAGGUAUAUAUUUUUUUCUCCUGAGACUGAAUUCCUCAGACACCAGAGAAGCAGUUUAAACUUGCACUGCAACAUGAGUGUUAAAGCAGCAUCACUAAAUCAUGGAUCACCAAGAAGGUUCACCAGCCUCUCAUUCUAUCCUAUCUGCAUUUCCCUUGCCAGCUGCAGAGCCUAAAUGAAAUUUAUUAGGCUUUGGAGUAACUAAUCAUCUCUGUGUGGUAAUUACGGAUUAGCCUCUCAUCGGGGGAUGCUGCCGCUGAGGGCUGGCCCGGGUUUUCCAGUUGGUAUAAGAGCUUGUGGAAGCUAUGGGUUUGCCAAAACAUCAUACACUGAUGUACAGUUUCAGAAGGCUCUGGGGCGCUCCCGAGCCUCGCUUUGGACCAACGCUGGCGUUUUCAGUGCAGCAUUAAUGAUGUCGUCUAGAAAUGCUGCAGACAUGUUUGAGGGAUUUAUGAAAGAGAAGCUGGGUCCCUUUAGACAGCAGCAGAAUGCGCCAUCUCUGGAGCUGCUGUGCUGUCAGGGAGCCAGUGCAGUUGUGCUGUAAAAGAAAGUCUCGCUUGCCAACUCAUGUGCCAGGAAGAGAAGUAGAAGGAAAUAGAAAUAGCAGAUAGCUACAGAAGAACAAUGUCUUUCUUUUUCUUUUUCUUUUUCUUUCUUUUUUUUUUUCUGAUGAGGAAACUUUAAUGAUGUGCCGCUUUGAAAGCAUCUGGUGAUGAAAACCCAAUAAUUCUCAGAUGUAUACAUGGACAUAUGCAAACAUAUACACACGUCCUGUAGAUCCAAAACCGCCGGUGCAUCUCUGUACUCUCCGUGGAGCAGCGCUUUCCCAUAGCUCUCGUCUGAUAGGAGCCCACAGUUGUGGAGUUUUCCUGCUGAAAGAUGCGUUAUUACUCUCCAAAGCCUGCAUAUAAACCAGCAGAGACUUUCACUGUCAGGGUUUCAGGAUCUCAGAAAUCCCCCUUGUCUGAUUUCUUUAUAAAUUAAAGCAAAACCGUCAAGCAGAUGCCAGAAUCUGCACAUUAAAAGAAUUAAAGCAUCAUUUUUGUCUACUAAUUACUUUUCACUUCAAGGGAUCAAAACAAAUUGAAAUGCAGGGGUCUCUCUAGGUUUUGAGAGGGCUUAGGUGCUGACUGGGUUCGGGAGGGUGGUAAUGGUUGGGGGUUUUGAAGUUAUUAAGAAAUGAUUAUGAAAUUUGAAGUUAUUUUAAGUUUUAUUAUCAUACAUUAUUCAUUCAUGAACCUUAACAUUAUUCAUUAUCCUUACCGUAUUUGUGAAAGAAAGCUGACAACACUUAUUCUACUUACAGUUAAAGGUCUAUUCAUUUCACCAAAUAACACAUUUGAGAUUUAAUGAAAAUGAAUGCCUUUUUAUAUUAAUUCGGCUUAAGGUGCGCCACAAAAACACUUAGGUGCCACACCUAAGCCUUUCCUAUGGUAAGGAAAACAUUGAAAUGAAUUUACUGUAACUGAUUAUUCCAAAAAUAAUAAUAAACAGCAUCAAUCACAACAGUAAGUACUAUUAAGUAAUCCAUCAUGUAUCAAAUCAAAGAUCUGUUUACAUGAAGUAGAUAAAAAUGUCCUUUUAAUCCUAUCUGUUUUCUUUUACAAAUGUGAUAUAAGGUUUAAUAUGCAGCUAUA